rnacentral:rRNA from 1 species
CCUACGGGGGGCAGCAGUCGAGAAUUAUUCACAAUGGGGGAAACCCUGAUGGUGCGACGCCGCGUGGGGGAAUGAAGGUCUUCGGAUGGUAAACCCCUGUCAUGUGGGAGCAAAUGAAAAAGAGAGUACCACAAGAGGAAGAGACGGCUAACUCUGUGCCAGCAGCCGCGGUAAUACAGAGGUCUCAAGCGUUGUUCGGAAUCACUGGGCGUAAAGCGUGCGUAGGCUGUUUCGUAAGUCGUGUGUGAAAGGCGCGGGCUCAACCCGCGGACGGCACAUGAUACUGCGAGACUAGAGUAAUGGAGGGGGAACCGGAAUUCUCGGUGUAGCAGUGAAAUGCGUAGAUAUCGAGAGGAACACUCGUGGCGAAGGCGGGUUCCUGGACAUUAACUGACGCUGAGGCACGAAGGCCAGGGGAGCGAAAGGGAUUAGAUACCCGUGUAGUC